rnacentral:rRNA from 1 species
GACAGAGGGUGCAAACGUUGUUCGGAAUUACUGGGCGUAAAGCGCGUGUAGGCGGCCCUGCAAGUCGGAUGUGAAAUCCCACGGCUCAACCGUGGAAGUGCAUUCGAAACUGCAGGGCUAGAGUCCUGGAGAGGAAGGUGGAAUGCUUGGUGUAGAGGUGAAAUUCGUAGAUAUCAAGCUGAACACCGGUGGCGAAGGCGGCCUUCUGGACAGUGACUGACGCUGAGACGCGAAAGCGUGGGGAGCAAACAGG